rnacentral:misc_RNA from 1 species
UCUCCGUAGGUGAACCUGCGGAAGGAUCAUUAUUGGAUAACCGAGGUGCGCGGGCUGCCGAUGACCGGUAAGGUCGUGCACGCCCGCGUGCCCCCACACGCAUCCCUUACACGCCUACGUGCACCGCCGUGUGGGUCCCCCAUUGGGUUGUUCGGAGGGGGGCUUACGUAUUCACACAAACUUUGUAUGCAGUGUAGAAUGUAGGUUUUGUAGCCGCGAUCACGCAAUCAAUAAAACUUUCAACAACGGAUCUCUUGGCUCUC